AUACGGAGGGGGCUAGCGUUGUUCGGAAUUACUGGGCGUAAAGCGCGCGUAGGCGGCUAAGUAAGUCGGAUGUGAAAGCCCUGGGCUCAACCUGGGAAUUGCAUUCGAUACUGCUUGACUAGAGUAUGGUAGAGGGAAGUGGAAUUUCCGGUGUAGCGGUGAAAUGCGUAGAUAUCGGAAGGAACACCAGUGGCGAAGGCGACUUCCUGGGCCAAUACUGACGCUGAGGUGCGAAAGCGUGGGGAGCAAACAGGAUUAGAAACCCGGGUAGUCC
rnacentral:rRNA from 1 species